GCUGCGCUGCGGCGCGCACACGGGCUCCGCCGGCUGCUAUUCCGGCUGGCGGUUGCCGCUGCAGGAAGGGCCGGUUCCUGCGCUCCCCCGCCCCUUCCCUCGCCUUCUGCUGACGCUGACGUCUGAUGUGGGAUCUAGAGGGACACUCCGAUCGCGGCCGGGAGGCUCCUGGGGGCCAGGGCUCCGAGGUUUAAUAUAACGUAUCCUCUCAUGCUUUUUCCCUGCCCCUUCUCCCCGCAUCAACAACAGUAGAAAAAGAAGAAGAAGAAAACAUGUCAGGACACAAAUGCAGUUAUUCCUGGGACUUACAGGAUCGAUAUACUCAAGAUAAGUCAGUUGUCAAUAAGAUGCAACAGAAGUACUGGGAAACGAAGCAGGCCUUCAUUAAAGCCACGGGGAAGAAGGAAGAUGAACAUGUUGUCGCCUCGGAUGCAGACCUGGAUGCCAAGCUAGAGUUGUUUCACUCAAUUCAGAGAACCUGUUUGGAUUUAUCUAAAGCAAUUGUACUCUAUCAAAAGAGGAUAUGUUUCUUGUCUCAAGAAGAAAAUGAACUGGGAAAAUUUCUCCGAUCUCAAGGCUUCCAAGAUAAAACCAGAGCAGGAAAAAUGAUGCAAGCCACAGGAAAGGCCCUCUGUUUUUCUUCCCAGCAAAGAUUGGCCUUGAGAAAUCCUUUGUGUCGAUUUCACCAAGAAGUGGAGACUUUUCGGCAUCGGGCCAUCUCAGAUACAUGGCUGACGGUGAACCGCAUGGAACAGUGUCGGACAGAAUACAGGGGGGCAUUAUUAUGGAUGAAGGACGUGUCUCAGGAGCUCGAUCCAGACCUCUACAAGCAAAUGGAGAAGUUCAGGAAGGUACAGACACAAGUACGCCUUGCAAAAAAAAAUUUUGACAAAUUGAAGAUGGAUGUGUGUCAGAAAGUGGAUCUUCUUGGAGCAAGCAGAUGCAACCUCUUGUCUCACAUGCUAGCAACAUACCAGACCACUCUGCUUCAUUUUUGGGAGAAAACUUCCCAUACGAUGGCAGCCAUCCAUGAGAGCUUCAAAGGUUACCAGCCCUAUGAAUUCACUACACUGAAGAGCUUACAAGACCCUAUGAAAAAACUAGUUGAGAAAGAAGAAAAGAAGAAGAUGGCCCAGCAGGAAAGCACAGAAGCAGCAGAGCAGGAGCCGAGUCAGUAAGUCAAGUCAGCCCUCUGUCUCCUGAGGUCUUUCUUCCCACGGGUUAAUUUCAUUAGAGGAUGAAAACCAACACAAGGAAUCCUGCAGCUUUAAGAGUGAAGAAGGAAAAAGUAUUUUAUCUGCCUUAGACAAAAGCUCCACACAUAAUGCAUGUUCAGGACCUCUGGAUGAAUUAUUAGACAUGAAGCCUGAGGAAGGUGCUUGCCUGGGCCCAAUGGCAGGGACCCCAGAACCCGAAGGUGCUGACAAGGAUGACUUGCUGCUGCUGAACGAGAUCUUCAAUGCAUCCUCCCUGGAAGAAGGCGAGUUCAGCCAGGAGUGGGCGGCUGUGUUUGGAGACAAUAGGCUGAAGGACCCAGCACCAUCGGGGUCCCUGGGAGAGCCAGACUCCAAGCCUCAGACAGGCUCUGGAUUCCUUCCUUCACAGCUUUUAGACCAAAAUAUGAAAGACUUACAGGCCUCACUACAAGAGCCUGCCAAGGCUGCCUCGGACCUGACUGCCUGGUUCAGCCUCUUUGCUGACCUCGACCCCUUAUCCAAUCCUGAUGCUGUUGGGAAAACCGAUAAAGAACAUGAGUUGCUCAAUGCAUGAGUCUGCAGCCUCUGAGAAGGAGUUCUCCUGCGGCUCCGCAGCACCUCACCUGGGGCUAGCAGAAGUAUAAUGCGAUCAGUAUGCUGUUUUCAUAUUUACGUGCCAUUUUAAUAAAACAAAAGGGUCAAGGGCCCUGUUUAUAUUGGUAUAAUUAUUUACUCUGAUUUGGUAUAGAGGGUUUUAGUGUGUUCUCUGUGUGGAUCCAAAUAGUACAAGAGUGUCCAGGAGCAGUGUCCCGGCCACUGUUCUCCUGCCGAUGUCCCAUCGUGGCCACUGUGGUGUCGCUGGGCUACUGUGAGAUCAGAGUUCAUAUCAUAAGCCUACUUGGUAAGAGGUUUAAAUAUCAAGUCCCACAGUCCUUAGCGGCAGCAGGAGGCUAACAGAGCUUAAUGUGUCCUCCUAUACCCCCGCCUCUGUGUGAGGGGGUCUUCUUCCUGCCAAACCAACUUCCACUGAGCUCUGGAUGAAGCUCCAGCCAACCAAAGACACUGUCCCCACAGCGCUUGCCUGGUGGGCCACACGUUCUCCCACUGAUGGAGGAGCUGGGGGUCUCCGCUGCACAAACCUUUCUAUGGAAAGCAGCCAUAUUUCAGAUAUCAGUGUCUUCUUUUGUCCUCUUCAUGGCUGGAAUUUAAAAGCAUGUAUUUCUAGAGCCUCUUGUGACUUUUUUUUUUAAAUUAAACAGAAAAAAAACCAUUUGACAUGCAAA